rnacentral:rRNA from 1 species
AGCAGCCGCGGUAAUUCCAGCUCCAAUAGCGUAUAUUAAAGUUGUUGCAGUUAAAAAGCUCGUAGUUGAAUUUCGGGAUCAGUAGGUUGGUCAUGCCUCUGGUAUGUACUGGUCUCACUGGUUCCUCCUUCCUGAUGAACCGUAAUGCCAUUAAUUUGGUGUUGCGGGGAGACUGGACUGUUACUUUGAAAAAUUGAGUGUUUAAAGCAGGCUUACGCUUGAAUACAUUAGCAUGGAAUAAUGAAAUAGGACGUUCGAUCCUAUUUUGUUGGUUUCUAGGAUUGACGUAAUGAUUAAUAGGGAUAGUUGGGGGCAUUAGUAUUCAAUUGUCAGAGGUGAAAUUCUUGGAUUUUAUUGAAGACUAACUACUGCGAAAGCAUUUGCCAAGGAUGUUUUCAUUAAUCAAGAACGAAAGUUAGGGGAUCGAAGACGAU